GCCCUUCCUACGGGAGGCAGCAGGGGGGAAUAUUGGACAAUGGGCGCAAGCCUGAUCCAGCAACGCCGCGUGAGGGAUGACGGCCUUCGGGUUGUAAACCUCUUUCAGUAGGGACGAAGCGAAAGUGACGGUACCUACAAAAGAAGGACCGGCCAACUACGUGCCAGCAGCCGCGGUAAUACGUAGGGUCCGAGCGUUGUCCGGAAUUAUUGGGCGUAAAGGGCUCGUAGGCGGUUUGUCACGUCGGGAGUGAAAACUCAGGGCUUAACCCUGAGCGUGCUUCCGAUACGGGCAAACUAGAGGUAUGCAGGGGAGAACGGAAUUCCUGGUGUAGCGGUGGAAUGCGCAGAUAUCAGGAGGAACACCGGUGGCGAAGGCGGUUCUCUGGGCAUUACCUGACGCUGAGGAGCGAAAGCAUGGGGAGCGAACAGGAUUAGAUACCCUGGUAGUCCAUGCCGUAAACGUUGGGCACUAGGUGUGGGGACCUUCCACGGUCUCCGUGCCGCAGCUAACGCAUUAAGUGCCCCGCCUGGGGAGUACGGCCGCAAGGCUAAAACUCAAAGGAAUUGACGGAAGGGC
rnacentral:rRNA from 1 species